UGAGUAACCUGCCCUUAACUCUGGGAUAAGCCUGGGAAACUGGGUCUAAUACCGGAUAUGACUUCUCAUCGCAUGGUGGGGGGUGGAAAGCUUUAUUGUGGUUUUGGAUGGACUCGCGGCCUACCAGCUUGUUGGUGAGGUAAUGGCUCACCAAGGCGACGACGGGUAGCCGGCCUGAGAGGGUGACCGGCCACACUGGGACUGAGACACGGCCCAGACUCCUACGGGAGGCAG
rnacentral:rRNA from 1 species